rnacentral:miRNA from 12 species
GAGACAGCUGAUAUGCAGACAGGAAAAGAAGCCAUGCAAAUAACAGAUUUAUGGAAUGCUGCUGGCUGAACUUGGAGUCUCUAGAGCCUCCAGUCCACCCUGGAGCACCAAAACCUGCACUGCCUCUUCCCUUCCUCCCACAAAAUC